GUCAGGCCGUAGCACGACAGUCUUGUCCGGAUGCCGUUGACCGCUGCUCUGACGAUAUUAACUUUCUAGCGCUGUAUUUAGGAGGUAACUCGAUACAAUAUGUUAAUUAAAUAGUGACAUUUUAUUAUGUGGAUGACAGAAACAACAAAUAUUUUAAUGCACUAGCUAGCUAGCUGUAGAGGGAUGCUGUCAAACCAACGAUAUCAACCGGUGUUAGCUAACGUUAGCUUGACUGCUAGCAUGUCCUGCACUCAGCUACAGUGAUUGGAUAAUGGUAGCCAUUUAACGUAACCUAUGCAAACAUGCUCUAUCCGUUAUAAUGGGGUGAAACAAAUUAGCUACCCAUAUGUUAUAGUCUUUUGACUAUUUUCACGGAGGAAACAUAAUUAUGCAAUCUAGCUGAACGGUAUGGUUGUAGGCAUUGAGUUAGUCUGGGAGUGGUUACAAUAACGUUGCAUUGUAGAAAGCGUGGUGACUGGCUAGCUAUGCAAAAUGAUGUUUAUCACUUGCUGUCCCAUUCUUUUCGGCCUGAGCGUUAUUGUGGAGCCCUGCCAUGUGGUGUUGAUUCGUAUAAUGAGUGAUCAUCAUGUAAAAGUGAAGGUUCAACUCGAACAAAUGAAAUCAUCAGGUGUUGGCGCGGAGGAGGGGGCAGAUAUUAUUGAUGAUGAGGUGUGGGUGGCAUCCCUGCUCUCAUCUGUCUCCUCUGGUGGCACUGAAGCUCAGCAUGGGAAGAGUUCCCUGUGGGUAGAUGGUCAGCCUGUGACAUCUACUGGCAUGGAGUGUCCUUCCAUGACAACGAUAACAUCCUCUCUGGACAGGUCAACAAGUUCCCAGGUAUGAUAGAGAUGCUGAGAAAGAUCAACCUGAGCCGAGCGGUGAGGACCAUGCAGGAGCUAUUCCCUGAGGAGUACAAAUUCUACCCCCGCUCCUGGAUCCUACCUGAGGAGUACAACUUCUACCACCGCUCCUGAAUCUUACCUGAGGAGUACAACUUCUACCCCCGCUCCUGGAUCCUACCUGGGGAGUACCACCGCUCCUGGAUCCUACCUGAGGAGUACAACUUCUACCACCGCUCCUGGAUCCUACCUGAGGAGUACAACUUCUACCCCCGCUCCUGGAUCCUACCUGGGGAGUACCACCGCUCCUGGAUCCUACCUGAGGAGUACAACUUCUACCACCGCUCCUGGAUCCUACCUGAGGAGUACAACUUCUACCCCCGCUCCUGGAUCCUACCUGAGGAGUACAACUUCUACCACCGCUCCUGGAUCCUACCUGAGGAGAACCCAGUCAGAAGAACCUGAGCCAUGUCCUCAUGCACCUUACCAACUACUCCCUCAGCGUCCAGAGUGGGAAAUUUGUCCACUCUGACAGCCUUUCGUCAGGAAACAAGCGCACCUUCUCCAGCGUGCUCUACCGCCUGGCCUCUAAAGGAGUGGACAUCAAGAAGGUUUGGUCAGACAUCAUCUCUCUGGUCAAGACGGUCAUCGCUCUGUUCCCUGUUCCCUAAGGUCUACUACCUGGCCAACAUACUGCCUGUCAAACCAGGACCCACCUGAUUCCAGGCAUGGGUCUCCAGGUGUUUGUGGAGGCUGUCUUCUACCCGGCCCAGCGCAGGUUCAAGUCUCUCUGCUGGAGAUGUGUGAGGCUUAGCUGGAGAACCAGGGAGUAGGGGGUCCUGGAGGAUCUCUUCCUGAGAACAGCACCUGGUCCAGCAGGCGCUCUGUGAGCCACCCCAGACCAGGCCCUAUCAGAACCCCAGCUCUGCUCCCCGGCCAACCUGCGCAGGGCCUCCUCCCAGAACUACCAGCUGCAUCAGCGAUUACGACCCCCACACACACAAGGCCAAUGUAGAGAACUGACCUGACUCAGGCCUAAGAAGCUAUACUCCCACACACAGACCUCACAGAGGAGCACACAGACUGGCUCCCUCUCCACUGGAAGUCCUCCAGGGUGUCCUGUCAAGAGCAGACAGACAGAUUGUAGGGAGCUGACCUCAGAGGCUGACUUCCAGGACCUGUUCUGGGCUUGAUUUAUUUUCCUUGUGAAGAGGAGGAGGAGGGGGAGGAAGGUAGUGCAUAAGGUGGUUGAGGAAGUGGGAGAACAAGGGAUGAAAGUAUAUAGUGGGAUAGAUGGAGUUUGUUCCCUCUGUGUGUGUGUGUGUGUGUGUGUGUGUGUGUGUGUGUGUGUGUGUGUGUGUGUGUGUGUGUGUGUGUGUGUGUGUGUGUGUGUGUGUGUGUGUGUGUGUGUAACGCCAGGCCACUCAGGUCUAGAGGGGGAGAUGGAUGGUUGUAAAGCCCUGCUUGAGAUGCACUUAUUGUUUCUUACCUCCAGGGUGGUGUUUGUCUCCUUUCAUCCCCUGUCAAGCUACCCACUGGACAAUCACACACGUUUUGUUAUUCUAUCCUCGUGGGGAACUGAAAUUAAUUUCCAUUCGACAUCCUAUUUUCCUUAACCUGUUACACAAACUCUAACUUCUAAACCUAACCACUAACCCCUUAACCUAAUUCAAAUUCUAACCCAACCCCUAAUUGUGACCCUAACCCAAAGCCUGACCCCUAAGCUUAAAAUAGCCUUUGUCCUCAUGGGGAUGUAGGAAAUGUCCCCCAGAGGGAGAAUUAUCCUUGUUUUACUAUCUUUGUGGUGACUUUCUGGGAUUUUAGGUCCCCACAAGGAUAUAAGAACCAACCAAAACACACACACACACACACACACUGCAGUGUUACAAUCACACAGUGUGUGUUUCUUGUAUGUAUCUGAGCAUUUGCAUGGUAGCUUUAGAACCUAUAACAUUUGCACAGGUGUGUGUGUGUGUGUUAUUGUAUUUGUGAUAAUUGCCAGAGGUUCUGCCAUUCGGCUGUUAUAGCUCAUAGAAGCAUAUGUUUUGCGAUUCGAUACUGUGAUUUUAUUGGAAUUCGAUGCUCCAAACAUAUUGCUCACUGUAUGUCUGCUGUAGAGGGACAAGAGAAAGCCAUGAAUAUAAAUGUUUUGGAAUAUAAAAGUGGUCAGCUCAAAACACGUCGACUCACCAUUUAAAAGAAGAUUGAGAACUAGCUAUAGGCUGACACAUACAGGUACAGCCGCUAGCUAGCUAACAUUAACAACCAAGAAACAUUUUAUAUUUAUAUAUAUAGUUGUGUUUUUUACAAGUCGAUACUUGGAGUCACAGUAUUGAUAUAAAACUAGCAAAAAUGAGGGGCUAUGGUUUGAUUUAGGACCGGGCACUUCCUCUGCUUUCAUAACAAUAACAUAGCAGCCUUAGACAUACAGCAGUGGGAAAGAGAGAGAGGGUCACUCAAAAUGUCCACCACAGACCCAAUGUCAGCACAUCUUCUAUCACAUCCUAUAUGUAAUGUACUGUAUAGGAAAUAAGGUGUGAUUUCAGACAGAACCAGAGCUGUCAUGUUUACAAAUCCUGUGUCAUUCAUAUCCAUAGGAAUGUUUUAAUGGUAUUUCAUUUCUGUUGUUGGUUUGUUUUACAUUUAUUCACGUCAGUCAUUGUCACCUAUGAACAGUUGCUGUAUUGCAUUGCUGCUUGCAGGAGAAUAAAACUAAACAGUAAAGUUAUCAUGGUUCCUGCAGGACUAUGGGCUUCUGCUUGUCUACACUGAACACCAUAACAAAGAACACACUAAAUGUUUUUGCGACCCCACUUUGUAAAAAAGAAAAAGAAAUUGUAAUUGUAAUCAAAAAUGUUUAGUUUUUUUUAUUUGGGCUAUGGCAGUCUUACAAAUCAGUUUGACAGUGUUCUUGACAGUAUUCAAUCUGAAGGAAAUAUGGUUUGAAGUGACUGAAAAGCAUCAGAAAGGUAUUGGGAAGAUCAGAAGAUCAUCAGGCAAUAAAUCAUUUUGCAUGAUCUUCUGUGUAGAAAAGAACAUCAUCAUUGAUGAUAUUCUUUUCCCCCCCAGUCUGAUUUAGUGCCUGGUCUCGUCCACUCAGUUCUAAGGACUUGUGGGCAGAGUAGAGGGAAACAGUAUGUACAUACAUGUUCCUGAGAGUCUUAUAUUUUCAGUGAUGGGGUCAUAAUAUGUUGUAGCUUAAUAAAUCAUUCAAAAGAGCUGCAUUUGUAGGAAGAAAACAGAAACCACUCUGUUUAUUAGAACUGCAUCUAGUGGCUACGGGAGGUUACUGAAGUAUCCCCGGUUCUAUGAACCAAGUGCAAAUGUUCUCUCGCUACCACAUUUUCAACCCCUAAUUUGGGAAACCCUGAGUUAAGACUAUAGACGUUUGCUCCAUCAUCUCAUACUGCACUCCAUCACAGCAUCUGAGAAUAUAUGCUCAGCCAUAACCUCCACUGGGAUGUACUGCACAACUGUUUAUAGCACUGUGAUGCAGAAUAAAGGACUGUA